rnacentral:rRNA from 1 species
GUGGGGAAUAUUGCGCAAUGGGCGAAAGCCUGACGCAGCGACGCCGCGUGAGUGAUGAAGGCCUUCGGGUCGUAAAGCUCUGUGGGACGGGAACGAAAAAGCCUGGGGAACAAUACCCUCAGGCUGUGACGGUACUCGUCCAGAAAGCACCGGCCAACUCCGUGCCAGCAGCCGCGGUAAUACGGAGGGUGCAAGCGUUGUUCGGAAUCAUUGGGCGUAAAGGGCGUGUAGGCGGGGUGGCAUGUCGGUUGUGAAAGCCCUCGGCUUAACCGAGGAAAUGCGUCCGAAACUGCCAUUCUUGAGUCCGGGAGAGGGAAGCGGAAUUUCCAGUGUAGUGGUGAAAUACGUAGAUAUUGGAAGGAACACCGGUGGCGAAGGCGGCUUCCUGGACCGGUACUGACGCUGAGACGCGAAAGCGUGGGGAGCAAACAGGAUUAGAAACCCCAGUAGUCC